UUAUAAUUUUUUCAUGACCCACCAUCAAAUGUAAACUUGAAAGUUUGUGUUAAGGAAAUCAAAAAUUUCUCUAACAGUAUAGUUUAAUUGAAUAUUGAAAUUCUAAUAACAAAAUUAUUACCCCUUAUUUUAAAUGGCCUCAGUAAUUUUUGUGUGUGAAGUUUGCAUGUGUGUUUGCAUUACAAGCUUACUUAAUUAAAAUUUCUGGAACAAAGAGCUGUCCUAAAUGCAGGAAGAAAAUUGACAAGCCUGCUAAUGUAUUGUUGGUUAACUACGUAUUGAUUCUCUUGAAGAACAAGGCAUGUAAAGGGAAACAACCCCCAGAGUCAGAGCAUCUCUUCUCUCAGCACAAGAGGCAUCUGGAUUACCUGCAUGUAAACUGCAUUAAACUCGUGUGUUUUACAUGCACUAGAAGCAUUUAUGGUGUGGAUGCCCCGCUCCAGAACGGUGAUGUGGACUCAAAGGCCAAAAUAAGGUCCUUAAUGAUAGAAAAAUUUCAGUGACAGAAGAAAAAUUUUCAGGUUUCUAGCGGUACUUUGGAUUUGAUGGAUGAUAUCAUGGAUCUGAGGACUACUGUGGCGAGAUGGGAUGCUUCUCUUCAUGAUCAAAUAAUGUCAACCAGUGAAGAUUUCAAGGCUUGGGACAACUUGGCUUCUGUGUUGGCAAAAAAGUGUAAAAUGCGAGGAAAUUCUACCUCGUCUGAAAUCAUAACCUUCAGGAAAUACCUAUGUUACCUGAAAUCAAAAGGCUGCUGGAUUAUGCAAACCUGACUUGUAAUUUGCAAAAGAUACACAACACUCAGCUUGAGCUCAUGCCGAAUGGGAAAUUGUGGACCGUCACUGACUAUGCUUGUGAAGAACAAGCUACUGCAAGCUUGUUGCACAAGAGGAUGCCGAGUCACGUCCUGGUGAUAUCAACACAGACAAGACCCAUCUCAGGACUUGAUGCCCAUGGCCUCCUGGCGAAUGUCACAUAGCCUGAUGGAUGAAGAUAUAGGGACUAUCAUCACUUCACCACAGAAUUUGGAAACCAUCUCAUGGACCUGUAUGGCACUCCCGACCAUAUCCUGGCACACAGUAACAUUGGGAAGCGUGCGCCAUGCAGUAUUGGUGUUCGCCUUGCCAGCCUCUGAGACAUAGAGCGCUGUUUAGAACUUAUGGGACCAAUGGACUGCGAGGGCAUGGUGAUGGAGGACCUGGCAGUGGACUGUUGGUGGAUAGUGAUGAAGGAUGGAGGAUAGUGCGGAGGAUAGUUCUGGUGGUCGAUGGAGGUCCGAGGAACAGACCCCAAAAUUACAGACCUGUGACCUUGA